UGGGGAAUUUUGCGCAAUGGGGGAAACCCUGACGCAGCAACGCCGCGUGCGGGACGAAGGCCCUCGGGUCGUAAACCGCUUUCAGCAGGGAAGACCACGACGGUACCUGCAGAAGAAGCUCCGGCUAACUACGUGCCAGCAGUCGCGGUAAUACGUAGGGGGCGAGCGUUAUCCGGAUUCAUUGGGCGUAAAGCGCGCGUAGGCGGCCGCCUAAGCGGAACCUCUAACCCCGGGGCUCAACCUCGGGCCGGGUUCCGGACUGGGCGGCUCGAGUGCGGUAGAGGAGAGCGGAAUUCCCGGUGUAGCGGUGGAAUGCGCAGAUAUCGGGAAGAACACCGAUGGCGAAGGCAGCUCUCUGGGCCGUCACUGACGCUGAGGCGCGAAAGCUGGGGGAGCGAACAGG
rnacentral:rRNA from 1 species